rnacentral:rRNA from 1 species
CCUACGGGUGGCUGCAGUGAGGAAUAUUGGUCAAUGGGCGCGAGCCUGAACCAGCCAAGUCGCGUGAGGGAUGACGGUCCUACGGAUUGUAAACCUCUUUUGCCGGGGAGCACGCGUGCGUUCGUGAACGCACGUCGAGAGUACCCGGAGAAAAAGCAUCGGCUAACUCCGUGCCAGCAGCCGCGGUAAUACGGAGGAUGCGAGCGUUAUCCGGAUUUAUUGGGUUUAAAGGGUGCGUAGGCGGUCGGAUAAGUUAGAGGUGAAAUCCCGAGGCUCAACUUCGGAAUUGCCUCUGAUACUGUUCGGCUAGAGAGUAGUUGCGGUAGGCGGAAUGUAUGGUGUAGCGGUGAAAUGCUUAGAGAUCAUACAGAACACCGAUUGCGAAGGCAGCUUACCAAGCUACUUCUGACGUUGAGGCACGAAAGCGUGGGGAGCAAACAGGAUUAGAUACCCUAGUAGUC